rnacentral:rRNA from 1 species
AAUCCAUAGGUUAAUGAGGCGAACCGGGGGAACUGAAACAUCUAAGUACCCCGAGGAAAAGAAAUCAACCGAGAUUCCCCCAGUAGCGGCGAGCGAACGGGGAGGAGCCCAGAGCCUGAAUCAGCAUGUGUGUUAGUGGAAGCGUCUGGAAAGGCGCGCGAUACAGGGUGACAGCCCCGUACACAAAAGCGCAUGUGCUGUGAGCUCGAUGAGUAGGGCGGGACACGUGGUAUCCUGUCUGAAUAUGGGGGGACCAUCCUCCAAGGCUAAAUACUCCUGACUGACCGAUAGUGAACCAGUACCGUGAGGGAAAGGCGAAAAGAACCCCGGCGAGGGGAGUGAAAAAGAACCUGAAACCGUGUACGUACAAGCAGUGGGAGCACCCUUUGGGUGUGACUGCGUACCUUUUGUAUAAUGGGUCAGCGACUUAUAUUCUGUAGCAAGGUUAACCGAAUAGGGGAGCCGGAGGGAAACCGAGUCUUAACCGGGCGUUAAGUUGCAGGGUAUAGACCCGAAACCCGGUGAUCUAGCCAUGGGCAGGUUGAAGGUUGGGUAACACUAACUGGAGGACCGAACCGACUAAUGUUGAAAAAUUAGCGGAUGACCUGUGGCUGGGGGUGAAAGGCCAAUCAAACCGGGAGAUAGCUGGUUCUCCCCGAAAGCUAUUUAGGUAGCGCCUCGUGAAUUCAUCUCCGGGGGUAGAGCACUGUUUCGGCUAGGGGGCCAUCCCGGCUUACCAACCCGAUGCAAACUGCGAAUACCGGAGAAUGUUAUCACGGGAGACACACGGCGGGUGCUAACGUCCGUCGUGAAGAGGGAAACAACCCAGACCGCCAGCUAAGGUCCCAAAGUCAUGGUUAAGUGGGAAACGAUGUGGGAAGGCCCAGACAGCCAGGAUGUUGGCUUAGAAGCAGCCAUCAUUUAAAGAAAGCGUAAUAGCUCACUGGUCGAGUCGGCCUGCGCGGAAGAUGUAACGGGGCUAAACCAUGCACCGAAGCUGCGGCAGCGACACUGUGUGUUGUUGGGUAGGGGAGCGUUCUGUAAGCCUGUGAAGGUGUGUCGUGAGGCAUGCUGGAGGUAUCAGAAGUGCGAAUGCUGACAUAAGUAACGAUAAAGCGGGUGAAAAGCCCGCUCGCCGGAAGACCAAGGGUUCCUGUCCAACGUUAAUCGGGGCAGGGUGAGUCGACCCCUAAGGCGAGGCCGAAAGGCGUAGUCGAUGGGAAACGGGUUAAUAUUCCCGUACUUGGUGUUACUGCGAAGGGGGGACGGAGAAGGCUAUGUUGGCCGGGCGACGGUUGUCCCGGUUUAAGCGUGUAGGUGUGUGUUCCAGGUAAAUCCGGUUCACUUUAACACUGAGGCGUGACGACGAGGCACUACGGUGCUGAAGCAACAAAUGCCCUGCUUCCAGGAAAAGCCUCUAAGCAUCAGGUAACAUCAAAUCGUACCCCAAACCGACACAGGUGGUCAGGUAGAGAAUACCAAGGCGCUUGAGAGAACUCGGGUGAAGGAACUAGGCAAAAUGGUGCCGUAACUUCGGGAGAAGGCACGCUGACACGUAGGUGAAGUGAUUUACUCAUGGAGCUGAAGUCAGUCGAAGAUACCAGCUGGCUGCAACUGUUUAUUAAAAACACAGCACUGUGCAAACACGAAAGUGGACGUAUACGGUGUGACGCCUGCCCGGUGCCGGAAGGUUAAUUGAUGGGGUCAGCGCAAGCGAAGCUCCUGAUCGAAGCCCCGGUAAACGGCGGCCGUAACUAUAACGGUCCUAAGGUAGCGAAAUUCCUUGUCGGGUAAGUUCCGACCUGCACGAAUGGCGUAAUGAUGGCCAGGCUGUCUCCACCCGAGACUCAGUGAAAUUGAACUCGCUGUGAAGAUGCAGUGUACCCGCGGCAAGACGGAAAGACCCCGUGAACCUUUACUAUAGCUUGACACUGAACAUUGAGCCUUGAUGUGUAGGAUAGGUGGGAGGCUUUGAAGUGUGGACGCCAGUCUGCAUGGAGCCGACCUUGAAAUACCACCCUUUAAUGUUUGAUGUUCUAACGUGGACCCGUUACCCGGGUUGCGGACAGUGUCUGGUGGGUAGUUUGACUGGGGCGGUCUCCUCCUAAAGAGUAACGGAGGAGCACGAAGGUUGGCUAAUCCUGGUCGGACAUCAGGAGGUUAGUGCAAUGGCAUAAGCCAGCUUGACUGCGAGCGUGACGGCGCGAGCAGGUGCGAAAGCAGGUCAUAGUGAUCCGGUGGUUCUGAAUGGAAGGGCCAUCGCUCAACGGAUAAAAGGUACUCCGGGGAUAACAGGCUGAUACCGCCCAAGAGUUCAUAUCGACGGCGGUGUUUGGCACCUCGAUGUCGGCUCAUCACAUCCUGGGGCUGAAGUAGGUCCCAAGGGUAUGGCUGUUCGCCAUUUAAAGUGGUACGCGAGCUGGGUUUAGAACGUCGUGAGACAGUUCGGUCCCUAUCUGCCGUGGGCGCUGGAGAACUGAGGGGGGCUGCUCCUAGUACGAGAGGACCGGAGUGGACGCAUCACUGGUGUUCGGGUUGUCAUGCCAAUGGCACUGCCCGGUAGCUAAAU